UUAAGCGACUAAGCGUACACGGUGGAUGCCCUGGCAGUCAGAGGCGAUGAAGGACGUGCUAAUCUGCGAAAAGCGUCGGUAAGGUGAUAUGAACCGUUAUAACCGGCGAUGUCCGAAUGGGGAAACCCAGUGCAAUUCGUUGCACUAUCGUUAACUGAAUACAUAGGUUAACGAGGCGAACCGGGGGAACUGAAACAUCUAAGUACCCCGAGGAAAAGAAAUCAACCGAGAUUCCCCCAGUAGCGGCGAGCGAACGGGGAGCAGCCCAGAGUCUGAAUCAGCUUGUGUGUUAGUGGAACGGUCUGGAAAGUCCGACGGUACAGGGUGAUAGUCCCGUACACCAAAAUGCACAGGCUGUGAACUCGAAGAGUAGGGCGGGACACGUGGUAUCCUGUCUGAAUAUGGGGGGACCAUCCUCCAAGGCUAAAUACUCCUGACUGACCGAUAGUGAACCAGUACCGUGAGGGAAAGGCGAAAAGAACCCCGGCGAGGGGAGUGAAAAAGAACCUGAAACCGUGUACGUACAAGCAGUGGGAGCACCUUCGGGUGUGACUGCGUACCUUUUGUAUAAUGGGUCAGCGACUUAUAUUCUGUAGCAAGGUUAACCGUAUAGGGAGCCGCAGGAAACCGAGUCUUAACUGGGCGUUAAGUUGCAGGGUAUAGACCCGAAACCCGGUGAUCUAGCCAUGGGCAGGUUGAAGGUUGGGUAACACUAACUGGAGGACCGAACCGACUAAUGUUGAAAAAUUAGCGGAUGACUUGUGGCUGGGGGUGAAAGGCCAAUCAAACCGGGAGAUAGCUGGUUCUCCCCGAAAGCUAUUUAGGUAGCGCCUCGUGAACUCAUCUUCGGGGGUAGAGCACUGUUUCGGCUAGGGGGUCAUCCCGACUUACCAACCCGAUGCAAACUACGAAUACCGAAGAAUGUUAUCACGGGAGACACACGGCGGGUGCUAACGUCCGUCGUGAAGAGGGAAACAACCCAGACCGCCAGCUAAGGUCCCAAAGUCAUGGUUAAGUGGGAAACGAUGUGGGAAGGCACAGACAGCCAGGAUGUUGGCUUAGAAGCAGCCAUCAUUUAAAGAAAGCGUAAUAGCUCACUGGUCGAGUCGGCCUGCGCGGAAGAUGUAACGGGGCUAAACCAUGCACCGAAGCUGCGGCAGCGACACUAUGUGUUGUUGGGUAGGGGAGCGUUCUGUAAGCCUGCGAAGGUGACCUGUGAGGGUUGCUGGAGGUAUCAGAAGUGCGAAUGCUGACAUAAGUAACGAUAAAGCGGGUGAAAAGCCCGCUCGCCGGAAGACCAAGGGUUCCUGUCCAACGUUAAUCGGGGCAGGGUGAGUCGACCCCUAAGGCGAGGCCGAAAGGCGUAGUCGAUGGGAAACAGGUUAAUAUUCCUGUACUUGGUGUUACUGCGAAGGGGGGACGGAGAAGGCUAUGUUAGCCGGGCGACGGUUGUCCCGGUUUAAGCAUGUAGGCUGGUUGUCCAGGCAAAUCCGGAUAAUCAAGGCUGAGGUGUGAUGACGAGGCACUACGGUGCUGAAGUAACAAAUGCCCUGCUUCCAGGAAAAGCCUCUAAGCAUCAGGUAACAUUAAAUCGUACCCCAAACCGACACAGGUGGUCAGGUAGAGAAUACCAAGGCGCUUGAGAGAACUCGGGUGAAGGAACUAGGCAAAAUGGUGCCGUAACUUCGGGAGAAGGCACGCUGGUGUGUAGGUGAAGUCCCUGCGGAUGGAGCUGAGACCAGUCGAAGAUACCAGCUGGCUGCAACUGUUUAUUAAAAACACAGCACUGUGCAAACACGAAAGUGGACGUAUACGGUGUGACGCCUGCCCGGUGCCGGAAGGUUAAUUGAUGGGGUUAUCCGUAAGGAGAAGCUCUUGAUCGAAGCCCCGGUAAACGGCGGCCGUAACUAUAACGGUCCUAAGGUAGCGAAAUUCCUUGUCGGGUAAGUUCCGACCUGCACGAAUGGCGUAAUGAUGGCCAGGCUGUCUCCACCCGAGACUCAGUGAAAUUGAACUCGCUGUGAAGAUGCAGUGUACCCGCGGCAAGACGGAAAGACCCCGUGAACCUUUACUAUAGCUUGACACUGAACAUUGAGCCUUGAUGUGUAGGAUAGGUGGGAGGCUUUGAAGCGUGGACGCCAGUCUGCGUGGAGCCAACCUUGAAAUACCACCCUUUAAUGUUUGAUGUUCUAACGUUGGCCCCUGACCGGGGUUGCGGACAGUGUCUGGUGGGUAGUUUGACUGGGGCGGUCUCCUCCCAAAGCGUAACGGAGGAGCACGAAGGUUAGCUAAUCCUGGUCGGACAUCAGGAGGUUAGUGCAAUGGCAUAAGCUAGCUUGACUGCGAGCGUGACGGCGCGAGCAGGUGCGAAAGCAGGUCAUAGUGAUCCGGUGGUUCUGAAUGGAAGGGCCAUCGCUCAACGGAUAAAAGGUACUCCGGGGAUAACAGGCUGAUACCGCCCAAGAGUUCAUAUCGACGGCGGUGUUUGGCACCUCGAUGUCGGCUCAUCACAUCCCGGGCUGAAGUAGGUCCAAGGGUAUGGCUGUUCGCCAUUUAAAGUGGUACGCGAGCUGGGUUUAGAACGUCGUGAGACAGUUCGGUCCCUAUCUGCCGUGGGCGCUGGAGAAUUGAGGGGGGCUGCUCCUAGUACGAGAGGACCGGAGUGGACGCAUCACUGGUGUUCGGGUUGUCAUGCCAAUGGCACUGCCCGGUAGCUAAAUGCGGAAGAGAUAAGUGCUGAAAGCAUCUAAGCACGAAACUUGCCCCGAGAUGAGUUCUCCCUGAGACUUUAAGUCUCCUGAAGGAACGUUAAAGACGAUGACGUUGAUAGGCCGGGUGUGUAAGCGCAGCGAUGCGUUGAGCUAACCGGUACUAAUGAACCGUGAGGCUUAACCU
rnacentral:rRNA from 1 species